rnacentral:rRNA from 1 species
UAGCCGUAAACGAUACUCGCUAGGUGUCGGCCACGGUGCGACCGUUGUCGGUGCCGUAGGGAAGCCGUGAAGCGAGCCACCUGGGAAGUACGGCCGCAAGGCUGAAACUUAAAGGAAUUGGCGGGGAGCACCACAACGGGUGGAGCUUGCGGUUUAAUUUGGAUUCAACGCCGGAAAUACUUACCGGGACCGACAGCAACAUGAAGGCCAGGCUGAAGACUUUGCCGGAUUAGCUGAGAGGAGGUGCAUGGCGUAGUCGUGU